rnacentral:rRNA from 1 species
GACGAACGCUGGCGGCGUGCCUAAUACAUGCAAGUUGAGCGCUGAAGGUUGGUACUUGUACCAACUGGAUGAGCAGCGAACGGGUGAGUAACGCGUGGGGAAUCUGCCUUUGAGCGGGGGACAACAUUUGGAAACGAAUGCUAAUACCGCAUAAAAACUUUAAACACAAGUUUUAAGUUUGAAAGAUGCAAUUGCAUCACUCAAAGAUGAUCCCGCGUUGUAUUAGCUAGUUGGUGAGGUAAAGGCUCACCAAGGCGAUGAUACAUAGCCGACCUGAGAGGGUGGUCGGACACAAUGGGAAUGGGACACGGGCCAAACUCCUACGGGAGGCAGCAGUAGGGAAUCUUCGGCAAUGGGGGAAAGUCUGAACGGGCAACGCCGCGGGAGUGAAGGAGGUUUUCGGAUCGUAAAACUCUGUUGGUAGGGAAGAACGUUGGUGAGAGUGGAAAGCUCAUCAAGUGACGGUAACUAACCAGAAAGGGACGGCUAACUACGUG